rnacentral:rRNA from 1 species
CCUACGGGAGGCAGCAGUGAGGAAUAUUGGUCAAUGGGCGAGAUCCUGAACCAGCCAAGCCGCGUGAGGGAAGACGGCCCUAUGGGUUGUAAACCUCUUUUGUCGGAGAACAAAACCCGGGACGUGUCCCGGACUGCGUGUAUCCGAAGAAAAAGCAUCGGCUAACUCCGUGCCAGCAGCCGCGGUAAUACGGAGGAUGCGAGCGUUAUCCGGAUUUAUUGGGUUUAAAGGGUGCGUAGGCGGUCCGUUAAGUCAGCGGGAAAAUUGCGGGGCUCAACCCUGUCGAGCCGUUGCAACUGGCAGACUUGAGUUGGCGAGAAGUACGCGGAAUGCGCGGUGUAGCGGUGAAAUGCAUAGAUAUCGCGCAGAACUCCGAUUGCGAAGGCAGCGUACCGGAGCCAGACUGACGCUGAGGCACGAAAGCGUGGGGAUCGAACAGGAUUAGAUACCCCUGUAGUC